rnacentral:lncRNA from 10 species
GGAGUGCAGUGGUGCGAUCACGGCUCAUGGUAACCUUGAACUCCUGGGCUCAAGAGAUCCUCCUGUCUCAGGCUUCUGAGUAGAUGGGACUACAGGUGUGCACACCGUGCCCAGGCUAACAUCCUUCUGGGGGAACCCAAACCCUGCCUGGGGAAUAACUUGAAGCAUCUCAGUUCUCAAAUUGCCCCCUGCUUACCCCUAAAAGGAGACCACACAGAGCUCCACCAACCUCGAGGCAGUCUUAUCCUUCCAGGCAAGGCUUUUUUGAAAGUCAAACAAACAGAUUUUCCUGCAGAUGCCACUCUAAUCAAGGCCCAUUACUUCAGCCUCCCCAUCCUUCCCCAGCUGGUGUUCUCUGCUGUGAAAUCUCCAUCGAUCUGACUUCCAAACUCUGCUGAGGUGUGAAGAUACAGAGAUGAAAAGGACAUAGUUCCUGUCACCUGGCAUCUCUGCCUAGGAGAAAGACAUAAGCAAAAUUGCUGCCGGCUUCCAGGCAGACGCCUCACAAGAAUCUCACGACGCCAAAGUUGAGGCCCGGAACGCCUUCUCCCCGGGCUUGGCAUUCUCUUACGACGCAAGGCCGGGCCAGCCUGGCCACACAGCACUCGAAACCCCAUUGGUGGAUGCAAAAGCAUCGGAUAAGUUCAUUGGAUGAGCCUGGAGGAACGCGGCACCUCAUUGGCCACAGAGAAGUCAAUUCCUGGCAAUCUCGGAGGGUGCGCAUGCUCGGAAGGUGAGUGGCGGGCAAACCGGCCGGAAGAUCCUGCCUGUUUUUGCAGCCAGAGGCACGCAAUGGAGGGUGGGCAGUGCGUUGCCAGAUGGCCUCGCCUGGCCCAUUUCUCUUUUUGCACUCUGUUGUCUCUGCUUCUCCAGCCACACUAGGAGGUCAGACCCUUGGCCCUCACUCACGGAACUUAUCUCCCUACCCAAAUGGCCUCUCAUGUUCCCAGCCUGGCCCCUGCCUCGGCACCCACCUUAGUGGCCCUAGCCUCUGGGAGUCAGCUUGGCCUCUUGAGUCUUCACUUGCAGUGGCCCCUGUGCAGCCCAGGCGUCUUCAUCUGAUUGCGCUAUCGCACCAGCCUCCUCAUGGUCUCCUGGAGGGUUGAAUCUAG